GAAGAAGAGGGAGAAUUAACAGUGACCACAGGGCCGCCACCCCUGCCAUAUCCUUCCUUCUCCCCCCAAAGCAGGAGCAGAGCUUCUCCCGGAGAAGUGCGGGAUGUCACCACUGAGAGCCGACCCGCAAAGCCAACAUGGUACUGGGCUUGUCAUCUCCAAAAGGUUUAAUGAUCCCAGGGAUCCAGCAGAGGAGAGAAUGUGGCUCAAGCCUGUGCAUAACAGUGAGGUGAGGAACCGGUGCCCACGCGAGAAAAGCUCUUCCAGAGGCGGAAACAGCCUUGAAAUGAGCUAAUUUGCCGGGCCCCGAGGCGGCUCACAUUCCUCCAGCAUCUUUAGCAUCGGCACCAUAUUUGGCAGUCGGCAUCCCCGCAAGGCCAAGCUCUUAUCCAGAGGGAUUAGUGGAGCCAAAGAAAAGAAGUUUUACACUGAAAAUGAAGACAGGGAAGAAAAACAACCCUAAACCAAAACCCAGGGAGAACUGGUGAGGAACCGCAGAACCAGCUCCACAUGAUUCUGCCCCUGACUAUUUCCAGGUAACUCCACAGAGGUGGGAGGGAGCUGUUAAAAGUGAGAUUUGCUUUUUCUUUUGCAGAUUUUGCUGGGAUUUUUCCUGCUGAACAAACAGGAGAGGCUGGGAACAGUGUCUCUCGCUUGUAUUUGUAUCUAAGGCUUGAAUCCUGAGAGUUCAAGCCCUCCUGGAUGGCCCUGAGGAAGAGUGCUCUCUGGGCUGAAAAAGCUUCCAGCAUCCCAGCACCUUCCUACCCCGGUCUGGCAAAGGUCUGGCAAACAGGAUCUCUCCAGGAUU